GUCUCAUCUGAUGAAGAGAAUGCAAGUUUUUCAGUGUUAAAUAACAAUGUUAGUCAUGCAGAACGAAGCAUACCAGGACAUGCAACACAGGCAGUUGUGUCUGAUACAUACAGAAACUAUGUAGAAAAUGUCAUUUGUAUUGAUGAAUCAGAGGAGGAAUUUGAUAUGGAGAAAUCUAGGGAUGUUCAAGAUGACAAUCAAG